UACGGAGGAUGCGAGCGUUAUCCGGAUUUAUUGGGUUUAAAGGGUGCGUAGGCGGGCUUUUAGGUCAGCGGUAAAAAUUCGGGGCUCAACCCCGUCCGGCCGUUGAAACUGGGGGCCUUGAGUGGGCGAGAAGAAGGCGGAAUGCGUGGUGUAGCGGUGAAAUGCAUAGAUAUCACGCAGAACCCCGAUUGCGAAGGCAGCCUUCCGGCGCCCUACUGACGCUGAGGCACGAAAGUGCGGGGAUCGAACAGG
rnacentral:rRNA from 1 species